UACGAGGGGUCCUAGCGUUGUUCGGAAUCAUUGGGCGUAAAGGGUGUGUAGGUGGCUAUGUAAGUCAGGUGUGAAAGCCCCGGGCUCAACCCGGGAAGUGCAUCUGAUACUGCGUAGCUUGAGUACCGAAGAGGAUAGUGGAAUUCCAGGUGUAGUGGUGAAAUACGUAGAUAUCUGGAGGAACACCGGUGGCGAAGGCGGCUAUCUGGUCGAGUACUGACACUGAUGACACGAAAGCAUGGGGAUCAAACAGG
rnacentral:rRNA from 1 species